CAGCCGCCGCGGUAAUACCGGCGGCCCGAGUGGCGGUCACUAUUAUUGGGCUUAAAGCGUCCGUAGCCGGGUUGGGAAGUCCUCCGGGAAAUCUGGCCGCUUAACGGUCAGAAUGCCGGAGGAUACUCCCAGCCUAGGGAGCGGGGGAGGCCGAGGGGAUUCCCGGAGGAGGGGGGGAAUCCUAUAAUCCCGGGAGGACCACCUGUGGCGCAGGCGCUCGGCUGGAACGCGUCCGACGGUGAGGGACGAAGGCCAGGGGAGCAAACCGGAUUAGAUACCCGGGUAGUCCUGGCUGUAAACGAUGCGGACUUUGUGUCGGACAAGCUAUGAGCUUGUCCGGUGCCGGAGGGAAACCGUUAAGUCCGCCGCCUGGGGAGUACGGCCGCAAGGCUGAAACUUAAAGGAAUUGGCGGG
rnacentral:rRNA from 1 species